GAUGAACGCUGGCGGCGUGCCUAAUACAUGCAAGUCGAGCGAACGGACGAGAAGCUUGCUUCUCUGAUGUUAGCGGCGGACGGGUGAGUAACACGUGGAUAACCUACCUAUAAGACUGGGAUAACUUCGGGAAACCGUAGCUAAUACCGGAUAAUAUUUUGAACCGCAUGGUUCAAAAGUGAAAGACGGUAUUGCUGUCACUUAUAGAUGGAUCCGCGCUGCAUUAGCUAGUUGGUAAGGUAACGGCUUACCAAGGCAACGAUGCAUAGCCGACCUGAGAGGGUGAUCGGCCACACUGGAACUGAGACACGGUCCAGACUCCUACGGGAGGCAGCAGUAGGGAAUCUUCCGCAAUGGGCGAAGGCCUGACGGAGCAACGCCGCGUGAGUGAUGAAGGUCUUCGGAUCGUAAAACUCUGUUAUUAGGGAAGAACAUAUAUGUAAGUAACUGUGCACAUCUUGACGGUACCUAAUCAGAAAGCCACGGCUAACUACGUG
rnacentral:rRNA from 1 species